rnacentral:rRNA from 1 species
GUAGGAGGCAAGCGUUGUUCGGAAUCACUGGGGCUUAAAGGGCGUGUAGGCGGAGUGGCAAGUGUCGGGUGAAAUCCCUCGGGCUCAACCGAGGGAAUGGCUUGGCAAACUGCCACUCUUGAGGCGGGUAGAGGUGAGUGGAACGACUGGUGGAGCGGUGAAAUGCGUAGAUAUCAGUUGGAACGCCGGUGGCGAAAGCGGCUCACUGGACCUGUCCUGACGCUGAGACGCGAAAGCGUGGGGAGCGAACAGGAUUAGAUACCCUGGUAGUCCACGCCGUAAACGAUGCGCACUAGGUAUGAGAGGUUCUGACGCCGAUCGUGCCGUAGGAAAACUGAUAAGUGCGCCGCCUGGGGAGUACGGCCGCAAGGCUA